UCAGGUGUGGAGGCGGAGCUUCUGCCUGAAGUGGCUCCUGUGGUUGUCUGGAGACUCGUCGAGGCCAUCGAGAAACACAGUUUAAACAGUGAGUCUCUGUAUCGAUCCCCUCCCGCCUCCGGUGGACCUGCAGAGCUGCGGCAGUGUCUGGACUCAGAUCCGGUUUCAGUGGAUCUGGACCAGUAUGAUGUGGUUUCUCUGACUGAUGCUCUCAGAGGUUUCCUGCAGGAC